rnacentral:rRNA from 1 species
ACAAUUAGCUGUUGGGACACUAGAUGUCUUAGUAGCGAAGCUAACGCGUGAAAUUGUCCGCCUGGGGAGUACGGUCGCAAGAUUAAAACUCAAAGGAAUUGACGGGGACCCGCACAAGCGGUGGAUGAUGUGGAUUAAUUCGAUGCAACGCGAAGAACCUUACCUGGUCUUGACAUGUACGGAAUCUCUUAGAGAUAGGAGAGUGCCUUCGGGAGCCGUAACACAGGUGCUGCAUGGCUGUCGUCAGCUCGUGUCGUGAGAUGUUGGGUUAAGUCCCGCAACGAGCGUAACCCUUGUCAUUAGUUGCCAUCAUUAAGUUGGGCACUCUAAUGAGACUGCCGGUGAUAUGCCGGAGGAAGGUGGGGAUGACGUCAAGUCCUCAUGGCCCUUAUGACCAGGGCUUCACACGUCAUACAAUGGUCGGUACAGAGGGUAGCGAAGCCGCGAGGUGAAGCCAAUCUCAGAAAGCCGAUCGUAGUCCGGAUUGCACUCUGCAACUCGAGUGCAUGAAGUCGGAAUCGCUAGUAAUUGCAGGUCAGCAUACUGCGGUGAAUACGUUCCCGGGUCU